rnacentral:rRNA from 1 species
GNNGACGCUGCGGCGGCUUAAUACAUGCAAGUCNAGGGGUAUAGAGUGCUUGCACUUUAGAGACCGGCGCACGGGUGCGUAACGCGUAUGCNAUCUACCUAUUACAGGGGAAUAGCCCAGAGAAAUUUGGAUUAAUGCCCCAUAGUAUUAUUGAGUGGCAUCAUUUAAUAAUUAAAGAUUUAUCGGUAAUAGAUGAGCAUGCGUACUAUUAGCUAGUUGGUGUGGUAACGGCACACCAAGGCUACGAUAGUUAGGGGCCCUGAGAGGGGGAUCCCCCACACUGGUACUGAGACACGGACCAGACUCCUACGGGAGGCAGCAGUGAGGAAUAUUGGACAAUGGUGGAAACACUGAUCCAGCCAUGCCGCGUGCAGGAAGACUGCCCUAUGGGUUGUAAACUGCUUUUUUACGGGAGGAAACACUCUCACGUGUGAGAGCUUGACGGUACCGUGGGAAUAAGGAUCGGCUAACUCCGUGCCAGCAGCCGCGGUAAUACGGAGGAUCCGAGCGUUGUCCGGAUUUAUUGGGUUUAAAGGGUGCGUAGGCGGCUUUAUAAGUCAGCGGUGAAAUGCCAGGGCUCAACCCCGGCACUGCCGUUGAUACUGUAUAGCUUGAGUGCGUUCUGGGUACAUGGAAUUUAUGGGUGUAGCGGUGAAAUGCAUAGAUACCAUAAGGAACACCGAUAGCGAAGGCAUUGGUACUGGGACGUAACUGACGCUGAUGCCACGAAAAGCGUGGGUAGCCAAACAGGAUUAGAUACCCUGGUAGUCCACGCCGUAAAACGAU